rfam:Pseudomonadales bacterium RIFCSPLOWO2_12_59_9 rifcsplowo2_12_sub10_scaffold_98, whole genome shotgun sequence.
CUCAGCAUAAGUUGGCACAACCCCUGCAAUAGCCAAAUCGACAAUUUAAUAAAGCGCAGCCAUCAACGAAGACGGUUGCACUUCCCGAUAGAACGGGACUUGGACAAAGGCGUCCUCGCUAGGCCACUAGCGGGACGCC